rnacentral:sRNA from 1 species
AUUUAUACAAAACGAAAUAAAAUGAUAGUAGACGGGCCAAUAACCUAAUCGCC